rnacentral:rRNA from 1 species
UUGCUCUGUGGAUCAGUGGCGAACGGGUGAGUAACACGUGAGCAAUCUGCCCCUGACUCUGGGAUAAGCGCUGGAAACGGCGUCUAAUACCGGAUACGAGCUGCGAUCGCAUGGUCAGUAGCUGGAAAGAAUUUCGGUCAGGGAUGAGCUCGCGGCCUAUCAGCUUGUUGGUGAGGUAAUGGCUCACCAAGGCGUCGACGGGUAGCCGGCCUGAGAGGGUGACCGGCCACACUGGGACUGAGACACGGCCCAGACUCCUACGGGAGGCAGCAGUGGGGAAUAUUGCACAAUGGGCGGAAGCCUGAUGCAGCAACGCCGCGUGAGGGAUGACGGCCUUCGGGUUGUAAACCUCUUUUAGCAGGGAAGAAGCGAAAGUGACGGUACCUGCAGAAAAAGCGCCGGCUAACUACGUGCCAGCAGCCGCGGUAAUACGUAGGGCGCAAGCGUUAUCCGGAAUUAUUGGGCGUAAAGAGCUCGUAGGCGGUCUGUCGCGUCUGCUGUGAAAACCCGAGGCUCAACCUCGGGCCUGCAGUGGGUACGGGCAGACUAGAGUGCGGUAGGGGAGAUUGGAAUUCCUGGUGUAGCGGUGGAAUGCGCAUAUAUCAGGAGGAACACCGAUGGCGAAGGCAGAUCUCUGGGCCGUAACUGACGCUGAGGAGCGAAAGGGUGGGGAGCAAACAGGCUUAGAUACCCUGGUAGUCCACCCCGUAA